rnacentral:rRNA from 1 species
GACGUAGGUGACAAGCGUUGUCCGGAUUUACUGGGCGUAAAGAGCGCGCAGGCGGUCGUUCAAGUCGAGUGUGAAAGCCCCCGGCUCAACUGGGGAGGGUCAUUCGAAACUGGUCGACUCGAAGGCAGGAGAGGGUAGUGGAAUUCCCGGUGUAGUGGUGAAAUGCGCAGAUAUCAGGAAGAACACCCGUGGCGAAGGCGGCUCUCUGGUACGUGACUGACGCUGAGACGCGAAAGCGUGGGGAGCAAACAGG